UACGAAGGGGACUAGCGUUGUUCGGAAUUACUGGGCGUAAAGCGCACGUAGGCGGGUUGUUAAGUCAGGGGUGAAAUCCCGGGGCUCAACCUCGGAACUGCCUUUGAUACUGCAAAUCUCGAGUCCGGAAGAGGUGAGUGGAAUUCCGAGUGUAGAGGUGAAAUUCGUAGAUAUUCGGAGGAACACCAGUGGCGAAGGCGGCUCACUGGUCCGGUACUGACGCUGAGGUGCGAAAGCGUGGGGAGCAAACAGG
rnacentral:rRNA from 1 species